UCCUAAUAGAAUUUUUCUUCGAAUCCGGUGAAUAUACAUGCGUGUAUUUAUUCUCACGCUAGCCCAAGUUUUAAUUGACACUACAGCGCGAAAACAACGUACUUCUAAAGACCGCUUAGGAGGACAACUUGAUCCGCUCGAUGCAUAAUUUCGAAUCAGCAGCAGUCUCAUCAAUCACUUCACACGUACGGUGUUUUGGGGCAGCGCGGUUGUUUGAUUCGGAUUAUCCGUCAUUUAAUCCUCCACCUUGGUGUCACUUUUGGUGGCAAUUUGGUGUUAUUGCCACGCGUCAAAAUGAACUGGCUUAAAAACAACAUAAUUUUGUUGUCUUACGUGGUGGGGGCAGAUUGCUCGGUCUUGGUAAGAGCAAGGUUAUUUGCGUCCGGUGUGCUUUACAGAAAGGUACAGCUUUUGCUUUAAAAUGCGCCGUAUGGUGCCUGCCGAGUUAUUGAGUACAUCGUCGUGUUAAAUUGAUGGACUGUCAUGCACACGGCUCCGUAUUAGGGCGAUGUUAUGAGUUGUCCAUUCGAACCCAAUGCAUCUUACUACAAAGCAGAAGUUCAAACAAAACCUCAGCCGCUGUAUAAAAGCCGGCAGUGCCAACCUGGAGGUCUUUGCAUAACUUGCGUACGGAGCGAGGAAUUACAAAUCCCAACAAACAAGCUAUUCAACUAAUUUUGCAGGUCGAAAUAACUGAGCUAAAGGUCUGCAGUGUAGAUCAAGGGCUAUUUCAUUGGAAGGUCAUCCAACAGCGUACAAAAAAUUAUAUACUCGUGCGGGAAUGUAGCAACUUUUACGAAGCCUUAAGCAGCUGGAUGUGAGAUGGCAAUUGCAGACGGAAAUCCAUUGCAAGGCACGUAGGAAACAUGUGUUAUACAUAAGAGCACUGUAAAGCACAGUCAGAACUUUGCCACCGGACAAUGCUGCACCGGCAGCACACUGUCGCCUCAACAAGGUACAAACGAACAUUUUUUUUGGAACUUGAACGCUAUAUUGUAUUGAAAAACG